rnacentral:rRNA from 1 species
GAGUGAUUGGGGUGGAGUCGUAACAAGGUAGCUGUAGGUGAACCUGCAGAUCA